GUUCCUUUUCAGCGCCGGGGCUGAGCCGGAGUUGAUCCGCUGAACACACUGAAGGGGGCUCCUCCUACUUGGAGGCAGGCAGCUUGAAGUUUAUUUAGAGGUCACGACCCGCUGACCCAGAGGCGGCGGAGGAACACCGACAACAUUCGACAACGCAGAGUGGCUCUGACUGCGUUCUUCCACGUCCUCCUGCGGUGAUGAAUGUGUGUCGGCGUGGAUCACGGUGGAGUCUGACGGGGCUGAGGAGUCAUCACGUAAAGGCCUUUAUGGACAAAAAGCCGGGGAAGCAAAUGAAGGACCAAAUGAAGCAACAUCACUACUAAUCAUGGCUUCAUGAGAGACAACAAACAUCACUUACUGUACAAGGU